GAUGAACGCUGGCGGCGUGCUUAACACAUGCAAGUCGAACGAUGAAGCCCAGCUUGCUGGGUGGAUUAGUGGCGAACGGGUGAGUAACACGUGAGUAACCUGCCCUUAACUCUGGGAUAAGCCUGGGAAACUGGGUCUAAUACCGGAUAGGAGCGUCCACCGCAUGGUGGGUGUUGGGAAGAUUUAUCGGUUUUGGAUGGACUCGCGGCCUAUCAGCUUGUUGGUGAGGUAAUGGCUCACCAAGGCGACGACGGGUAGCCGGCCUGAGAGGGUGACCGGCCACACUGGGACUGAGACACGGCCCAGACUCCUACGGGAGGCAGCAGUGGGGAAUAUUGCACAAUGGGCGAAAGCCUGAUGCAGCGACGCCGCGUGAGGGAUGACGGCCUUCGGGUUGUAAACCUCUUUCAGUAGGGAAGAAGCGAAAGUGACGGUACCUGCAGAAGAAGCACCGGCUAACUACGUG
rnacentral:rRNA from 1 species